UAUCUACUCCCUCGUCCGAAAAAACUUGUCCCAAAUUGUCCUUCAAAUGUUUGUAUCUAGCACUAAUUUGAUGCUAGAUACAUCUAUUUGAGGGACGAGCUUUUUCGGAGGGAGGAAGUACAUU
rfam:Triticum aestivum genome assembly, contig: Triticum_aestivum_CS42_TGACv1_scaffold_516456_6BS